ACAACGCCUACUAAGCUGUGACAUUUUCUUUAGAAAGUGGUAACCAUCAGGUCAACAACCAGAAUGCUAGUUAAAUACAUACCUUUGAGUUUCAAAGGAUUUGCAUGCCAGCAGUCAUAUAGCAAGGCUUGGUACUUCAAGAUGGAACAGCUUCGAAGUGUGGAACUCACGUUAAAUGUACAAAUAAGAAACUGCUACCAACUAGUUCACUGUUAAGCGGGCCACUCCAAACACCGAAGUCUCGGUAGGAACUGCCAGGCCAUCGAAAAAUACUUCAUUUUGGGGAAAUUCAGAAGGUAAAAUGAUAUAUUUCAGCACCUCGCAUUUCCGAACGAAGGGGCUCUGAAAGGCAGGCUGCAAAAUAAUACAAACCUUUUAUGAAACAGCCGUCGUAUACGACUCGCAUGGACUAUGCUUCAUUGCGCAUGUAGCAGCUGCAACGAAAUGCACUGCUUUCCUCACGAAACACCUUUCUGCACACCUGCGCGAUCGACCAUGCUUCCCCUUCUGCAGCCGCAUUCAGCUAUGUCACACAAAUGUUGUUCAAAGAAAGGACCUUUUUGGUUUCAUUGCGCAUUGUAUGGACAAACAAUCGCGCAAAUGUUCCAACUUGCACAACGAUAGGUAUUGCAUCUUGGACACUUCUGCAUUGCACUAGCUAGAAGUGUGGUGCUUCUCCUAAUAUAUUCAAUAGCGGCGGCAGUGUGUCUGGGCGGCAAUCGGCUACGAAUACUUUGCCAUAGCUCUGUGUAAAUAAACGCACUUAAUAUAUUUCUUUUUCUUUGCAUGUUUAUGUGCACAAUAUGCACGCCUCAGUGCACUUCCACACUGCCUUCGCACUAUUGUUGACGGUUUUUCUUCGCGUGCAUAAAAAUAUAUAGUAGAGGGCAUUCAUAUUGCAAACUGCUUCCUCAUCUGCUGCGUGACGCCCUUGAUGGUACGUUAAGUGUGCGCUAUGCGACUUGCUCCUGUGAUAGGGAUUGUAUUGGUUGUUUUAUUCACAACUUCGGAUAAUGUGGUCCCUAACGUAACUCUCCCAGACACGGUGGGCCCAUAUUCCCAGCCAGAACAAGAAGGCACGGUUUGCAGUGGCACACCGAGCAACCAACCUGCCACGUGUUCAAAGGGACAGGGGUUACAGCAGCUUUGUAUCGAAAACAUCGAAGCGCACCAUUAUUUCUAUUUUCGAAUAAACAUCUGCUGUCACUGCUA